rnacentral:rRNA from 1 species
CAGUAGCCGCGGGAAUACGUAGGUGGCAAGCGUUGUCCGGAAUUAUUGGGCGUAAAGGGCUCGCAGGCGGUUUCUUAAGUCUGAUGUGAAAGCCCCCGGCUCAACCGGGGAGGGUCAUUGGAAACUGGGAAACUUGAGUGCAGAAGAGGAGAGUGGAAUUCCACGUGUAGCGGUGAAAUGCGUAGAAAUGUGGAGGAACACCAGUGGCGAAGGCGACUCUCUGGUCUGUAACUGACGCUGAGGAGCGAAAGCGUGGGGAGCGAACAGGAUUAGAUACCCCGGUAGUCCCUGUCUCUUAUAC